rnacentral:sRNA from 1 species
CAAAUCUCUAUCGUAAGCUACGGUGAAGAAAAGCCACUGGUUCUUGGUCAGGGUGAAGACGCGUACUCAAAGAACCGUCGUGCGGUUCUGGUUUACUAAUUAAAAGGUAAAUCUUAUGAGCAGUAACACUUUGC